rnacentral:sRNA from 1 species
UUCAUUUAAAAAUGAAAUUUUUAGCUAACAAGGAUAUUUUAAAUAUUUCUAUCAAAAUAAAGAGAUAUAUUUGCUCUGAAAGGGAAAUCCACAGUUUCGGGGCGACAGCUCAGUGAAGUCUUCAUUCAGUUACCUUCAAGGAAAGAAUUACCAGAAUACUAUGAAUUAAUUAGGAAGCCAGUGGAUUUCAAAAAAAUAAAGGAAAGGAUCCGUAAUCAUAAGUACCGGAGCCUAGGCGACCUGGAGAAGGAUGUCAUGCUUCUCUGUCACAACGCUCAGACGUUCAACCUGGAGGGAUCCCAGAUCUAUGAAGACUCCAUCGUCUUACAGUCAGUGUUUAAGAGUGCCCGGCAGAAAAUUGCCAAAGAGGAAGAGAGUGAGGAUGAAAGCAAUGAAGAGGAGGAAGAGGAAGAUGAAGAAGAGUCAGAGUCCGAGGCAAAAUCAGUCAAGGUGAAAAUUAAGCUCAAUAAAAAAGAUGAGAAAGGCCGGGACAAAGGAAAAGGCAAGAAAAGGCCAAAUCGAGGAAAAGCCAAACCUGUAGUGAGCGAUUUUGACAGCGAUGAGGAGCAGGAUGAACGUGAACAGUCAGAAGGAAGUGGGACGGAUGAUGAGUGAUCAGUAUGGACCUUUUUCCUUGGUAGAACUGAAUUCCUUCCUCCCCUGUCUCAUUUC